GACGAACGCUGGCGGCGUGCUUAACACAUGCAAGUCGAACGGCAAGGCCCUGCUUUUGUGGGGUGCUCGAGUGGCGAACGGGUGAGUAACACGUGAGUAACCUGCCCUUGACUUUGGGAUAACUUCAGGAAACUCGGGCUAAUACCGGAUAGGAGCUCCUGCUGCAUGGUGGGGGUUGGAAAGUUUCGGCGGUUGGGGAUGGACUCGCGGCUUAUCAGCUUGUUGGUGGGGUAGUGGCUUACCAAGGCUUUGACGGGUAGCCGGCCUGAGAGGGUGACCAGCCACAUUGGGACUGAGAUACGGCCCAGACUCCUACGGGAGGCAGCAGUGGGGAAUAUUGCACAAUGGGCGGAAGCCUGAUGCAGCAACGCCGCGGGCGGGAUGACGGCCUUCGGGUUGUAAACCGCUUUCGCCUGUGACGAAGCGUGAGUGACGGUAAUGGGUAAAGAAGCACCGGCUAACUACGUG
rnacentral:rRNA from 1 species